rfam:Asian citrus Psyllid, Diaphorina citri - Florida Strain, whole genome shotgun sequence.
GCCAGGGGCAAUAGCACAGUGAAUGCACCAGUUAUUAGUUUCCAACGAACCACUGAAGUUAAGCAACGGUGUGCGCGGUUGGUAUCUGAAUGGGUGACCGUCUGGGAAGAGUGUGAUUCAGGGG